GUAACGAUGGAGCUAUAAAACCAGUCGGACCGAGCUUGUAUCUCCCAGGUGAAUGUCUGUCCCGAAGUGCUCGAAGCAUAUAAUCCAUCUUGAAUGGACAUUGGAGCUGUCCGUGGUCCGUUGGGUUAUGAACUGGGUAUCGAGGUAGUAGACAGAAGAAAGACCUCCUGUUACUAAUGCACUCAAGAUGCAUUGAGGACGCAUUGAGCUCCGAUCUUUCAGACCACAUUCAGAGGUGGUCUGGAACCACAUAUAACCACAUUCUUUUAGCAGUGUGUAGUGGAUGUGUCCGGGGCCACAUUAAGGACCGCCUACUCAACUGAUGUCCUGCUUGGAUCUGCGGGGUCUCACUACGCUCCUCAUGUAAAAUGACGUGGAAACAUCUUCUGUGCUCUACUGUAUCCUGACGGUACAACUGUGUUUUAUUAAAAUAGAUCUUGUUUAUAGGCUACAUAUCUACAGACUAUCAGACUAGGAAUGCAAAGUGCAUUAUUAUCAUACUGUCAGUGAUGUGUUGGUGUUUUAGUCCGGUGCUUUGUACGGAGCUGACACCCGCUCGCUCUCUGCCUUGGUACGUGUCUACGGGCUCCGUCCUUUCCACUCUUCCCAUUCAUUGUCUAUGUAAGCAGCCUGGCAAUGUAUUCUGGUAGCGUGGUGGCGCUAUCCAGAGACGGACCGUCACUGCUCACUCCUCACUCCUCACUCCUCAUUUGCAUAAAGUCGAGGUCUAGGCUACUUUAUGCAAAUCAGGGGCGUCCGACGCGACUCGCCGUCUCUGGAAACUCCAGAGAAACUUUUUAACUAAACCUUGUCGAUCUAAAAUAAAGACAGAUUCACCAACUGCGUGGCUUAUUUCUCGCCUCAAU